GGAUCCAGACUUUGAUUAUGGCUCAGAGUGAACGCUGGCGGCGUGCUUAACACAUGCAAGUCGAACGAUGAAGCUCUUGCUUGCAAGAGUGGAUUAGUGGCGCACGGGUGAGUAAUGUAUAGCUAACCUGCCCUUCAGAGGGGGACAACAGUUGGAAACGACUGCUAAUACCCCAUACUCCUUUCUAUCAUAAGGUAGAUUGGGAAAACUCCGGUGCUGAAGGAUGGGGCUGUAUGGUAUCAGUUAGUUGGUGGGGUAAUGGCCUACCAAGGCAAUGACGCCUAGCUGGUCUGAGAGGAUGAUCAGCCACACUGGAACUGAGACACGGUCCAGACUCCUACGGGAGGCAGCAGUGGGGAAUAUUGCACAAUGGGGGAAACCCUGAUGCAGCAACGCCGCGUGGAGGAUGACGCAUUUCGGUGUGUAAACUCCUUUUAUCAGUCAAGAACAUGACGGGUAGCUGAUGAAUAAGCACCGGCUAACUCCGUGCCAGCAGCCGCGGUAAU
rnacentral:rRNA from 1 species